UAACAACAGGGACAACAGAAUGUUACAGCAUGUUGGCACAGAGUCUGAGCAACAGCAGCCGCAUCAGCAAUAUCCUGUUGCACGUUCAUAUGGUGCUAAUGUCACUGACGGCUACAACGAUAUUGGCUCUAGCGGUACGGGAUGGCAGCGCGUUGCUGUUGCAACUAUGGGUGCCACUGCUGCUGCUGUUGGGCGCUCUCAAUUGGCUGCCACUGACAACUGCAAUACAACGGCUGCAACGGCAACAGCCAGCAUAUGCAAGCCAGCAAUACAAUCACGCUUAUCUUCCAAAAAUAAACACGGCCAAGGACAAGACUCUACAACAGCAACACAGACAGCAGUCACACCAACAACAACAACAACAACAGCAACAACCAAACAACAACGAAAAGUCUAUCAACACUGCACAAACGAUGACGCUGCCAUUGCCCAGGGCACUCGGACUGUCAAAUUCUUUAUGGAUAUGCAAAAAUUUGCACGCACUGUAUUUCCGCUUGUCAUUGUCUUCAAUUUGCUACCUUUAUUCUAUGCAGUGGCCGCCACUGCGCACUUGAAAUCGCCCGGCGUUGAGGGCGAGGGCGCAGGCGAGCCAUGGAUGCAGCCGGUUGUGGCAUACUUGGAGGCGCCGGUGCGGCCCACAAAAUCGCCAAAAUGUGAUCAGACGUUCGUCUCGCGCAUUGGCGGUCCGCAAAACGGCACCUUUACGGCGCCGCUGCUGCACAAUCAUCGCAAUCAUUCGCGCCAAUGCCUCUACACAUUCCUAGCAGGACCUGGCCAGCGUGUCGAAGUAGUUUUUAAAUCCUUUAAUUUAAGAGGAAGUCCGCCAGACGGUUCGGCCGUCGGUGAAUUACCAAGUUGUGUUCAUGAGUACAUGGAUAUCUACUCGGAGGUGCAAUCGUCCGAACCAGCGGAGCUGAUCAAUUCGCCAUUCGGCGGUCGCUACUGUGGUGCCAUACCACCGCGUCGUCGCAUUUCCAUGUACCGCGCCGUUGCCAUUUCAUUUUUCAGCAACAAGAAUGUGUCGACAGACCUGUUCGAGGGCACGUUUAGGUUUAUAAAUGCAUCGGAAUAUGAAAUUGGCAUACCCAUUGCUGGUUCGCCAUGUUCCUAUACGAUAACGCCUAGCAUGAGUAUCAAUAAAACUGGCGCACUCAUAUCGCCAACCUAUCCAGGUGCCUAUCCGAAGGAUAUGUCAUGCACAUAUCAAUUUCUUGGUGAAUCAAAUCAGAGAGUUAGAUUAGAGUUUCGUGAUUUUGAUCUGUUUUUUGGUGGACCACACUGCCCAUUUGACUAUGUGAAAGUGUACGAUGGUCCAGAUAAUUCGUCAGCAUUAAUCGGUACAUAUUGCGGACAGCAAAGAAACUUAGUAUUGUAUUCGAGCGAAUCGAGCCUUUUUGUUCAUUUUUAUACCCUACCGCGCACCGCAAAUUCCCAAAAUCGUGGCUUUAAAGGAAUUUAUGAAUUUAGCGAAAGUUUUGUUAAAUUAGAUUUUAUACGUGAAAAUGAUGGCAUUCACAUACGUGGCUCAGAAUGUGAUCAAAAGAUUUUAUCAAAUAAGGAAUCGACAGGAUUCGUGCUCUCACCUAACUAUCCCUAUCCAUAUAUACAAAAAACUGUGUGUAGAUAUUUCAUCUAUGGCAUGCAGGAUGCACAGCAUCUGGAGCGUGUACGUCUCGAGUUUAUCUCUUUCAACAUACCCAAAGUGGAGCACAAGGACAAGGGCGAAUCCAACUGUACUGAUGGCUAUCUUAAGAUCUAUCUGAAAGGCCAGGAGACUGCCGACGCGUAUGACAAGUUUGACUACGAGCUGUGCGGCAAUGAGACGCAACGCGUGAUCAGCGAUGGGCCACGCCUGGCCAUGGUGUUCAGUUCGGGUGAGCUGCAGGGGCGUGGCUUUAAGGGCAAGUACACAUUCGAAACGGAAUACAAGAUACCCGGCACGGCGGCACCAGACGGCACCUGCAGCUUUACGUAUGUGAGCAGCUCGAAGAAACGCGGCGAGCUAAACAGUCCACGCUAUCCCUCCAACUAUCCGUCAGACACAAACUGUUCCUAUUUGUUCUUGGCCGAGCCCAACGAGCAGGUGACCAUUGUAUUCGAUCACUUCAAGAUCAAAGCGGACAACAAUGUGAACGCCACCGCCGGCUCUUACGGCUCCGGUGCCUGCUUUGAGGAUUGGCUGGAAAUGUAUGUCGUCUACCGGGAUAACAAUGAUCGCUUGCUGGGCCGGUAUUGUGGCUUAACAGCACCCGGGCCCGUUGAGAGUCCGCGCGGCGCGGUCGGCUUACGCAUCACGUUGCACACGGACCAGGAGAGCGUGGCCAGUGGCUUCAAGGCUCGAUACUUUUUCGAGUCGGCCAAGUCCGAUGCAGGCGACUGUGGCGGCAACUUCAGCAACGAGGACUCCGGCAUUAUAACCUCGCCGAACUACCCAGCUGGCUAUAAGGCCCCAGGUCGCGGCAUGGCCUCCAACGCAUGCAACUGGGUGAUGACCGCACGCGCCGGCUACAAGUUGUCCAUCAAUUUUGAGCAGUUCGGACUCGAGGGCGAUCCAGCGAAUCGCGGAUGUCCCGCCGCUGUGCUGCGCCUGUGGGUGAAUGUUGACUCGGAUCAGCCGCCCCUGGAGCUGUGUGGCGAAAAGCCGCCCAUUGAGCACUGGCACUAUAUAUCCACCGGUCAGACGGCGCGCAUCAGCUUUACCACCAGCGAUAAGACCGUUGGUGCACAGGGCUUCCGCAUAGUAUGGACUGAGAUACAGGACUCUGGCCCGGGACCACCGUCGAUUGGGCUGCUCUGCGAGUCCACGUACCACUUCCAGUGCGCUGCGGGCUAUUGCAUAUCGGAUAAGCUGCGCUGCGACGGCGUCAAGAACUGCGGUCCCGGCGAUGAUAGUGACGAAUUGCAUUGUGAGUCGUAUCACGGAAGCGGCCGAGGAGGAUCACGACGUCCUAAUUAUAAUAACACUAGUCGUCGCCUCGUCCCUAAUUUGUCUCCUAUGCACACUCUGUCACUCCAGAAGAAAACGUAGAAAUCACGUGCGUCAAUUGGGUUUACAUCGAAAUGCACACUAUGAUUCUCAGACGAGCGCAACGGCUGGUCUUAGCUCCAGUCGGCGUCAUUUGCAGAGUGGUGGGGCGAGCAUUGCGGGCAGCCUACAUGGCAUCAAUAGCGGCACGCUGAUCAUUC
rnacentral:misc_RNA from 1 species